GAAGGUGGCCUGUGAGGGUUGCUGGAGGUAUCAGAAGUGCGAAUGCUGACAUAAGUAACGAUAAAGCGGGUGAAAAGCCCGCUCGCCGGAAGACCAAGGGUUCCUGUCCAACGUUAAUCGGGGCAGGGUGAGUCGACCCCUAAGGCGAGGCCGAAAGGCGUAGUCGAUGGGAAACGGGUUAAUAUUCCCGUACUUGGUGUUACUGCGAAGGGGGGACGGAGAAGGCUAUGUUGGCCGGGCGACGGUUGUCCCGGUUUAAGCGUGUAGGUGUGUGUUCCAGGUAAAUCCGGUUCACUUUAACACUGAGGCGUGACGACGAGGCACUACGGUGCUGAAGCAACAAAUGCCCUGCUUCCAGGAAAAGCCUCUAAGCAUCAGGUAACAUCAAAUCGUACCCCAAACCGACACAGGUGGUCAGGUAGAGAAUACCAAGGCGCUUGAGAGAACUCGGGUGAAGGAACUAGGCAAAAUGGUGCCGUAACUUCGGGAGAAGGCACGCUGACACGUAGGUGAAGUGAUUUACUCAUGGAGCUGAAGUCAGUCGAAGAUACCAGCUGGCUGCAACUGUUUAUUAAAAACACAGCACUGUGCAAACACGAAAGUGGACGUAUACGGUGUGACGCCUGCCCGGUGCCGGAAGGUUAAUUGAUGGGGUCAGCGCAAGCGAAGCUCCUGAUCGAAGCCCCGGUAAACGGCGGCCGUAACUAUAACGGUCCUAAGGUAGCGAAAUUCCUUGUCGGGUAAGUUCCGACCUGCACGAAUGGCGUAAUGAUGGCCAGGCUGUCUCCACCCGAGACUCAGUGAAAUUGAACUCGCUGUGAAGAUGCAGUGUACCCGCGGCAAGACGGAAAGACCCCGUGAACCUUUACUAUAGCUUGACACUGAACAUUGAGCCUUGAUGUGUAGGAUAGGUGGGAGGCUUUGAAGUGUGGACGCCAGUCUGCAUGGAGCCGACCUUGAAAUACCACCCUUUAAUGUUUGAUGUUCUAACGUGGACCCGUAAUCCGGGUUGCGGACAGUGUCUGGUGGGUAGUUUGACUGGGGCGGUCUCCUCCUAAAGAGUAACGGAGGAGCACGAAGGUUGGCUAAUCCUGGUCGGACAUCAGGAGGUUAGUGCAAUGGCAUAAGCCAGCUUGACUGCGAGCGUGACGGCGCGAGCAGGUGCGAAAGCAGGUCAUAGUGAUCCGGUGGUUCUGAAUGGAAGGGCCAUCGCUCAACGGAUAAAAGGUACUCCGGGGAUAACAGGCUGAUACCGCCCAAGAGUUCAUAUCGACGGCGGUGUUUGGCACCUCGAUGUCGGCUCAUCACAUCCUGGGGCUGAAGUAGGUCCCAAGGGUAUGGCUGUUCGCCAUUUAAAG
rnacentral:rRNA from 1 species